ACUCCUACGGGAGGCAGCAGUGGGGAAUAUUGCACAAUGGGCGCAAGCCUGAUGCAGCCAUGCCGCGUGUAUGAAGAAGGCCUUCGGGUUGUAAAGUACUUUCAGCAGUGAGGAAGGUGGGUAUGUUAAUAGCAUAUUCAUUUGACGUUAGCUGCAGAAGAAGCACCGGCUAACUCCGUGCCAGCAGCCGCGGUAAUACGGAGGGUGCGAGCGUUAAUCGGAAUUACUGGGCGUAAAGCGCAUGCAGGUGGUUUGUUAAGUCAGAUGUGAAAGCCCGGGGCUCAACCUCGGAAUUGCAUUUGAAACUGGCAAACUAGAGUACUGUAGAGGGGGUAGAAUUUCAGGUGUAGCGGUGAAAUGCGUAGAGAUCUGAAGGAAUACCGGUGGCGAAGGCGGCCCCCUGGACAGAUACUGACACUCAGAUGCGAAAGCGUGGGGAGCAAACAGGAUUAGAUACCCUGGGAGCGUAG
rnacentral:rRNA from 1 species